rnacentral:snoRNA from 1 species
ACUGCCCCCAAAGCAUUGCAGGUAUGACUGCGGUGUCACAUAUGCCUUGGAUGGCAGAGAGGAGAGAUGCUGUGUCUACACUCAGUGUUCUCU